CCGAGUUUACAACUCCCAAACCCCUGUGAACAUACCUAUAUGUUGCCUCGGCGGAUCAGCCCGCUCCCCGGUAUAAAACGGGACGGCCCGCCAGCAGGAUCCCCUAAACUCUGUUUUCUAUUAUUGUAACUUCUGAGUAACAAAACAUAAAUAAAUCA
rnacentral:misc_RNA from 1 species